rnacentral:rRNA from 1 species
CCGAAAAUGUACCGGGGCUAAACAUAUUACCGAAGCUGUGGAUUGUCCUUUGGACAAUGGUAGGAGAGCGUUCUAAGGGCGUUGAAGCAUGAUCGCAAGGACAUGUGGAGCGCUUAGAAGUGAGAAUGCCGGUGUGAGUAGCGAAAGAUGGGUGAGAAUCCCGUCCACCGAUUGACUAAGGUUUCCAGAGGAAGGCUCGUCCGCUCUGGGUUAGUCGGGUCCUAAGCUGAGGCCGACAGGCGUAGGCGAUGGAUAACAGGUUGAUAUUCCUGUACCACCUAUAAUCGUUUUAAUCGAUGGGGGGACGCAGUAGGAUAGGCGAAGCGUGCGAUUGGAUUGCACGUCUAAGCAGUAAGGCUGAGUAUUAGGCAAAUCCGGUACUCGUUAAGGCUGAGCUGUGAUGGGGAGAAGACAUUGUGUCUUCGAGUCGUUGAUUUCACACUGCCGAGAAAAGUCUCUAGAUAGAAAAUAGGUGCCCGUACCGCAAACCGACACAGGUAGUCAAGAUGAGAAUUCUAAGGUGAGCGAGCGAACUCUCGUUAAGGAACUCGGCAAAAUGACCCCGUAACUUCGGGAGAAGGGGUGCUCUUUAGGGUUAACGCCCAGAAGAGCCGCAGUGAAUAGGCCCAAGCGACUGUUUAUCAAAAACACAGGUCUCUGCUAAACCGUAAGGUGAUGUAUAGGGGCUGACGCCUGCCCGGUGCUGGAAGGUUAAGAGGAGUGGUUAGCUUCUGCGAAGCUACGAAUCGAAGCCCCAGUAAACGGCGGCCGUAACUAUAACGGUCCUAAGGUAGCGAAAUUCCUUGUCGGGUAAGUUCCGACCCGCACGAAAGGCGUAACGAUUUGGGCACUGUCUCAACGAGAGACUCGGUGAAAUCAUAGUACCUGUGAAGAUGCAGGUUACCCGCGACAGGACGGAAAGACCCCGUGGAGCUUUACUGUAGCCUGAUAUUGAAAUUCGGCACAGCUUGUACAGGAUAGGUAGGAGCCUUUGAAACGUGAGCGCUAGCUUACGUGGAGGCGCUGGUGGGAUACUACCCUAGCUGUGUUGGCUUUCUAACCCGCACCACUUAUCGUGGUGGGAGACAGUGUCAGGCGGGCAGUUUGACUGGGGCGGUCGCCUCCUAAAAGGUAACGGAGGCGCUCAAAGGUUCCCUCAGAAUGGUUGGAAAUCAUUCAUAGAGUGUAAAGGCAUAAGGGAGCUUGACUGCGAGACCUACAAGUCGAGCAGGGUCGAAAGACGGACUUAGUGAUCCGGUGGUUCCGCAUGGAAGGGCCAUCGCUCAACGGAUAAAAGCUACCCCGGGGAUAACAGGCUUAUCUCCCCCAAGAGUUCACAUCGACGGGGAGGUUUGGCACCUCGAUGUCGGCUCAUCGCAUCCUGGGGCUGUAGUCGGUCCCAAGGGUUGGGCUGUUCGCCCAUUAAAGCGGUACGCGAGCUGGGUUCAGAACGUCGUGAGACAGUUCGGUCCCUAUCCGUCGUGGGCGUAGGAAAUUUGAGAGGAGCUGUCCUUAGUACGAGAGGACCGGGAUGGACAUACCUCUGGUGUACCAGUUGUCGUGCCAACGGCAUAGCUGGGUAGCUAUGUGUGGACGGGAUAAGUGCUGAAAGCAUCUAAGCAUGAAGCCCCCCUCAAGAUGAGAUUUCCCAACUUCGGUUAUAAGAUCCCUCAAAGAUGAUGAGGUUAAUAGGUUCGAGGUGGAAGCAUGGUGACAUGUGGAGCUGACGAAUACUAAUCGAUCGAAGACUUAAUCAA